UGAAAGAGAUCACAUCACAUAGACGUCGUGUUGCUCUUCAUCGUAGUUAUCGUGUUGCUAUUCAUUGUUAUCGUCGUCUUGCUCUUCAUAGACUAGUAACCGUUCGCUAUUCACCGACGAAGACACUCUGCUUUUUUUAUAGGACUCUCUCUCUCUGUUCCAGUUGCAUUGUUGAAUCAAAUUUCGGAUGGCUCAUACAGCAGAUUCCGUCAGUCCCAGAGAUGUUUGCAUCGUGGGUGUUGCACGAACUCCAAUGGGUGGCUUUCUCGGGUCUCUCUCGUCUUUGCCCGCCACCAAGCUUGGAUCCGUAGCUAUUGCAGCUGCUUUGAAGAGGGCAAAUGUUGACCCGUCUCUCGUCCAAGAAGUUGUGUUUGGCAAUGUUCUUAGCGCCAAUUUGGGUCAGGCUCCUGCUCGUCAGGCUGCUUUAGGUGCAGGAAUCCCUAACUCUGUCAUCUGUACCACAGUUAACAAGGUUUGUGCUUCAGGCAUGAAAGCCGUAAUGAUUGCUGCUCAGAGUAUUCAAUUGGGGAUCAAUGAUGUAGUCGUAGCGGGUGGCAUGGAAAGCAUGUCUAAUACACCAAAAUAUUUGGCUGAAGCAAGGAAAGGAUCUCGGUUUGGUAAUGACUCUCUAGUAGAUGGAAUGCUAAAGGAUGGACUAUGGGAUGUCUAUAAUGACUGUGGGAUGGGAAGCUGUGCAGAGUUAUGCGCUGAGAAAUUUCAGAUAACAAGAGAGCAACAAGAUGACUACGCUGUUCAGAGUUUUGAACGUGGUAUUGCUGCCAAGGAAGCUGGCGCCUUCACAUGGGAAAUCGUCCCGGUUGAAGUUUCUGGAGGAAGAGGUAGGCCAUCAACCAUUGUUGACAAGGACGAAGGUCUUGGGAAGUUUGAUGCUGCAAAAUUGAGGAAACUCCGUCCAAGUUUCAAGGACAAUGGAGGCACUGUUACAGCUGGAAAUGCGUCUAGCAUAAGCGAUGGUGCAGCUGCACUUGUCUUAGUGAGUGGAGAGAAGGCGCUUCAGCUAGGACUUAAAGUACUCGCAAAAGUUAAAGGUUAUGGUGAUGCAGCUCAGGAACCGGAGUUUUUCACUACUGCUCCUGCUCUUGCAAUACCGAAAGCUAUUGCACAUGCUGGUUUGGAAUCUUCUCAAGUCGAUUACUAUGAGAUCAAUGAAGCAUUUGCAGUUGUGGCUCUCGCAAAUCAAAAGCUACUUGGGAUUACUCCGGAGAAGGUGAAUGUAAAUGGAGGAGCUGUCUCUUUAGGACAUCCUCUAGGGUGCAGUGGGGCUCGUAUUCUAAUCACAUUGCUUGGGAUACUAAAGAAUAGAAACGGCAAGUACGGUGUGGGAGGAGUGUGCAACGGAGGAGGAGGUGCUUCUGCUCUUGUUCUUGAACUUGUUUGAUGCAUUAUGAAUCCAGGGUGGUGGAUUAGACGACGUAUCUCUUUCAACUAUUGCACUUCAAGUUGGCUAUUAGUUGGUCUCUCAAUAAAGGAGAGUGAUCGUUGUUUGAUGUUGUUAAUUUGGUGACCUCAGUUAUUAAUUUAUGAACCCAUUUUUCCUCAAUAGUUAAUGCUUUGUCCAGGAUGUACUGUUUGAGAAUUUAUCAAAAACGUCCGAAUGAUUCUGUAAAGUAUAUGUAUCAAAGGAAAUAUGUUAUUCUGUA